AACUUUUCUGUCAUGUGUCAAAUUCAAGGGCAUUUUCUGUUUCCAGAAUAACAAGGUAUCAGUGGUGAGAGAAAAUCAAGCAUCAUAUCUUAAAUCUUUUAUUUUAUAGUCUCAAGCUUUCUAUUAUAUCUGACAUAAACAAUAAAACAAAUGCUUCAAGAAUAAAAAUCUCACUUGCUUAUAUCUGCAUUCAAAAAUGGUUUGAUGGAAAGACACUAUGAAACAGGUGCUACGAGAUGAAUAACAA